rnacentral:rRNA from 1 species
AACACGUGAGUAACCUGCCCCGGACUCUGGAAUAAGCGCUGGAAACGGCGUCUAAUACCGGAUACGAGACGCAACCGCAUGGUUAGUGUCUGGAAAGUUUUUCGGUCUGGGAUGGACUCGCGGCCUAUCAGCUUGUUGGUGAGGUAAUGGCUCACCAAGGCGACGACGGGUAGCCGGCCUGAGAGGGCGACCGGCCACACUGGGACUGAGACACGGUCCAGACUCCUACGGGAGGCAGCAGUGGGGAAUAUUGCACAAUGGGCGAAAGCCUGAUGCAGCGACGCCGCGUGAGGGAUGACGGCCUUCGGGUUGUAAACCUCUUUCAGCAGGGAAGAAGCGAAAGUGACGGUACCUGCAGAAGAAGCACCGGCUAACUACGUGCCAGCAGCCGCGGUAAUACGUAGGGUGCGAGCGUUGUCCGGAAUUAUUGGGCGUAAAGAGCUUGUAGGCGGUUUGUCGCGUCUGCUGUGAAAAUCCGGGGCUCAACCCCGGACUUGCAGUGGGUACGGGCAGACUAGAGUGUGGUAGGGGAGACUGGAAUUCCUGGUGUAGCGGUGAAAUGCGCAGAUAUCAGGAGGAACACCGAUGGCGAAGGCAGGUCUCUGGGCCACCACUGACGCUGAGAAGCGAAAGCAUGGGGAGCGAACAGGAUUAGAUACCCUGGUAGUCCAUGCCGUAAACGUUGGGCGCUAGGUGUGGGACUCAUUCCACGAGUUCCGUGCCGCAGCUAACGCAUUAAGCGCCCCCGCCUGGGGGAGUACGGCCGCAAGGGCUAAAACUCAAAGGGAAUUGACGGGGGGCCCGCACAAGCGGCGGGAGCAUGCGGGAUUAAUUUCGAUGCAACGCGAAAGAACCUUACCAAGGGUUUGACAUAUACCGGAAAACACCCAGAAGAUGGGGUGCCCCUUUUUGGUCGGGUAUACAGGGUGGGUGCAUGGGUUGUC